UUGAAAAGAUAUCAAAAGAGUAAUUCCUUAAGCAAUAGCAAAAGAUAUUCCAGUUACUCAUGGAUUUUCAAUUAAAUGUUAUAUGGAACUGAUUAUAUCAUUGAUUCUUCCCGAGUUUUCUUGAAAGAUAUCUCCCGAGAUUCCUGGCACGCAGAAAAAAAUAUUUUAAACUCAAAAAUAAAGUGCUUUGAAUCAAAGAAAAUAAACCAUUGAUCCACGGCUUAAUAUCAUUUUGCUUUGAAUCAAAUACAUUUGGUAUUAGUUUCAAAGUAUUAUUUUCAUUGCUUUAAUAAUCGAGCCUCCGCGGCACUGAUUGUAGUUUCAAAUACCUACUUGUUGACUUUGAUUUUAUCACAUCAUUGCUUUGAAUGUAAGUAAUUUUGCAAUUUCAAAGGCUAUAUUUUUUUGAAAUAAAUAUUCAUGGACUUAGAUUCAAAAACAAAAUAUUUUUGUUUGAAAGUGAAAGCGAAAUAAAAAAAGGCGAGUGAGAAUCGAACACGGGUACUGCUAUUAUAUGCUGUACUGAUAGCGAGUUAUCUUUCACGACCAGAUCUGAUCUUGAAAAUCUGAGGGUAAAACUGAAUUACCUUGCUCAUAUUGGCAUUAUGCAUUCUCCAAAAUUGAAAACAAAGAAAUAUUUUUAUUGAUUCAACAAACCUCGCGACUUAGUAACAAAGCCUCUUUAAUUUUGGUUCUAAUAUGUGUUAUUUUUCUGCGUGUGGAACUUCUUUCGAAGUUUUUCAGGGAUUAUUUUACCAAAUCAUCGUCUGAGAUUUCUCCACAUUUUUCUAACUUUAUUCCUAAUUAUUAUGGGAGUUUUCCCAAGCAACUGCAUUCUUUCAGAAAAUUGACGCAGAAUUCCUGUUAGGUUUACUCCAUGUAGGGGGAAGUGGAUUCUACAAUGGAGGAAGGGAAUGUAAUAAUCAAGAAAGAAAAAAAAAAUGUUACGUAAUUAAUAAUUUCUUCCUUACGAAGAGAUCCUAUGGAUCAAGCAGGAUUCGGAUCCACAUACUCUCGGCAUGAUCCUAUUGAUUAAAUCAAAAUAAAAAACCGGCCUCAAAAAUAGCGAACCUAAAUCCUAAUCCGAAAUGAAGGUUUCAGCGAAAAAAUUGCUGAAAUUUAGCAAAAUUGUUCAGUGCAUUUGCUAAUGAUCGGCUACAUUUUGCUGAAAUUCAAAUUCGUCCUUCCUUGUUUCGACCUUUUGUGUUUCCCCAUUAUUCGACAUCCUCCAUACCAAAUGUUACCGAAUGAAAUUGCUCAUUGUUAAAUUUCAAUAUUCCAUUCAACCAAGACAUGUGCAUUCAAUCAAACGUUCGUUACGCCCGAAUGUGAAAGAAUCGUUAGAAUAAUCGCAAUAUCCCUUCCAGGAGCAAAUCACCCGCGUUCUGCUGGAACGACUGAUUGUGAACCGUCCGCAUCCGUGGGGACUGCUGAUUACAUUCAUCGAGCUGAUCAAAAAUCCAUCGUACAAGUUCUGGGACCAUGACUUUGUGCACUGUGCACCAGAAAUUGAGAAACUAUUCGAAUCGGUGGCCAACUCGUGCAUGGUGGUCAAAUCCAAAAGCCAACCGCAGAUGCCGAACGUCGAGUCGGAAAUUGCCGAGUGCAACUAGAUCGAAUGUCGGUUGAUCGAAACGCUGACAUAACACCGUACCACGUAGCGCCUAGUGUUUUAAGUGUAAGCGAAAAGAACCAGUACACUUUUGUUAAGGGUAUGAAAACUACAUUAUAGCAAUGGACACGAGGGAGGGAAAAUAACAUUUUUAACAGUGUGAUGGGAUGGUGUUGACGCCUACCGUUACUGCUGUGUGUGGAACACGAACCACUCGUUUUUUUUUGGUUUUGUUUUAGACUAUCUCAUACAGACUGGAGCCAUGGCAUUAGAAAGUGUAUUUUUUAUGAAUUUAAAGGUGGAAACAUUUUGGGAUUAUGCCUAUCAGUUUGUUUUAGUUGCAAAGAAUACCAUCUUUUUGUAAAUAGCAUCAUGGAUUUUUAACAAUAUUUAUAUCAUGUUCAUAGCCACACUAGCCUAUUUGCGGUAAAAUAUAAUGUCUGUCUCCUGAGCUAACAAGUCUAGAACUGUACAACCGAUGGUCCAAAAACAAGCGAAAAGACUCGUGAAUGUCGUCUGCGUGGUCAGUGUUCAAUGUGUGUAUGUAUGUCCUUUUCAUCUAGCGAUUUUGGUCGAAGACAAUGCGGCGUUAAUGCGAUGGUGAAAUUGAAAUGCACAUGGCGCUAGAAUUUACAGAAGUCCAGGCUGUAUACAGUACAUGCAACUAGAUGAUGCGGAAUUAUAUAUUAGAAUAACUGUAAUUGUGUCUUAGAAGUUAAGCGUUGAUAGGUGUGCGUUGUUAGCAAUUAAUCACAUUAUGAUAAACUAUAUAUUGAACGAUUCAUAUAAAUAUAUUUAAACGUAAAUAAUGUAGGA